rnacentral:rRNA from 1 species
GAUGAACGCUAGCGGCAGGCUUAACACAUGCAAGUCGAGGGGCAGCACGAGUAGCAAUACUUGGUGGCGACCGGCGCAAGGGUGCGUAACGCGUGAGCAACAUGCCCGUAUCAGGGGGAUAAUCCAGGGAAACUUGGUCUAAUACCCCAUAGUAAUCAUAUCAGGCAUCUGGUAUGAUUUAAAGCUUAGGUGGAUACGGAUUGGCUCGCGUGACAUUAGCUAGAUGGUAAGGUAACGGCUUACCAUGGCUAUGAUGUCUAGGGGUUCUGAGAGGAAGGUCCCCCACACUGGAACUGAGACACGGUCCAGACUCCUACGGGAGGCAGCAGUGAGGAAUAUUGGACAAUGGAUGGAAAUCUGAUCCAGCCAUGCCGCGUGAAGGACGACGGUCCUAUGGAUUGUAAACUUCUUUUGUAUGGGAGCAAUAAGGUCUACGUGUAGAUCGAUGAGAGUACCAUACGAAUAAGCAUCGG